UCAUACAGAAUCCCCAGCCUUAGGUUACCGGAUGAACUCGUGGGAUUUGCAGCGGAGAAGAUCCUUUGCCUCCCAAAAAACACUUUAAUUUCAAGCGGGAGCGCACGGCACACCCACGCUUUCAGGUCGAAUUUCUCUGUUCUGUUUGGUUGCGGAAAAAGUGAAAGAAAAGAAAAGGAAAAUGAGAGAAAACUUGAAAUGGUGCAUCACACUGCCAAUUUUAUGGCAAUCGCUUGUCGGAGACGAAGCUCUCCUGUCUUGUCCUAUGGAAUCCCGAGGACCGCUAGGGUUCUCCGAGGGAUUUGUGGUUUGUUAUGUGGUUGCGCUUGGUUGCCGAGAAAAUAUUGGAAACUGUGAUUGCAUUUUUCCAUUGCUUACAGGUGGAUGGAUGGAACUGAUAUUGGAACAAGCAGUACUCUGGCUGAAGAUGAUAUGGAGGUAAAACCUCUUAGUUCACAAGUCUUGGAAUUUGACAUAGUAAUUCCCUCUGUUGAUAAUGCACAACCUAAUAUUUCUUUAGAAGAAGAAGCUGGCAUGGAUAUGGUACCAAAAAUUGGAAUGGAGUUUGAAUCUGAUGAUCAAGCAUAUGAAUUUUACAGUAAUUAUGCUAGAUUGACAGGGUUUACUGUUAGGAAUAAUCAUUUAGACAAGAGUGAGAUGAAUGGUGAAGUGCUAGCAAGAAGGUUUCCUUGCUCUAAAGAAAGUUUUGUACAGAAUGACAAAUAUGGUGCUAAUGCGAGGAAACGUAGGAAGGAAAGGAAAACCGGUUGCUUGGCACAAAUGGUCGUUUCUCGCCAAUCCAAUGGUAAAUAUGCUGUCAUCCAUUUUGAAGCUAAACACAAUCAUGAAGUUAGGGCCCCAGAUGAAGCCUGCAGUGUACCACCAGAAGGGAGAUUAACUGAUGCUCAAGCUGCUGGUGUUGACUCAGAGGAUAGUUUUAGGAGACACUCAGAAUCAGCCUUUGACUAUAACAACCAUUUGCAUUCUAGGAGGAGAAGAGAAAUGAAGGAAGGAGAGGAAAUAAUUUUGUUGGAUUGUCUACAGAAGCGGCAAUUGGAAGAUCCGUCAUUCUUUUAUGAAGUGCAACAUGAUAUUGAUGAUUAUAUAACCAACAUAUUUUGGGCUGAUAAACAGAUGAUUGUGGACUAUGGCCAGUUUGGUGAUGUGGUUUGCUUCGAUACAACUUUCAGAACUAACAAAGAUUGCCAACCAUUAGUGCCAUUUGUUGGUGUGAAUCAUCACAAGCAAGUAGUUAUAUUUGGUGCUGCACUUUUAUAUGAUGAUACUAUUGGAUCUUUUGAGGUACUAUUUCAAACAUUUAUGACAGCAAUGUCUGGACAGAAGCCAAAGACAAUUCUCACAGAUCAACAUGCAGCAAUUAGUGAAGCGAUCAAUUUGGUGAUGCCAGAAACAAAUCAUCGUAUAUGUAUCUGGAAUAUAUACCACAAUGCUCUUUUACAUCUAAGCCAUGCGUUUGAUGGCCCAGGCUCUUUUUCCAGAGAUUUUAGCAGCUGCAUUUAUGAUCAUGAAGAUAAAGAGGACUUCAUUCAGGCGUGGAAGGUAAUGUUGGAUACACACAAUCUUCGGAAAAAUAAGUGGUUGAAGGGGAUAUUUGAUGAAAGAGAGAAAUGGGCUAUUGCCUAUGGAAGGCAUACUUUUUACGCAGAUCUAAAAAACUCAGAGUUAAUUAACAGUUUUAAUAGAAACUUGAUGGAUCACUUAAACCCUGACCUAGAUAUAUUGCAAACUUUUGAGCAUUUCGAAAGGAUGGUGUCUGAUCUACGUUGCAAAGAAUUAGAAGCUAGUUAUGACAUAUUUGAACAGUUGCCAUCAUUGUUGGGGAAUGUGAUAUUGUUAAAGCAUGCGAGGGAUGUUUAUACACCAGAAGUCUUUGAAGUGUUUCAACGAGAAUAUGAGAAGUGUCUGAAUCUGGUUGUUAAUGAGUGUGGUUCAAGUGGAUCUUUAUUUGAGUACAAGGUAAACAUAUAUGAACAUUCUCGAGAGCAUAAAGUUACAUUUAAUCCAUCAAAUGAUACAGUAGUCUGCAGUUGUAUGAAGUUUGAAUUUGAUGGAGUUUUGUGCAGCCAUGCUUUAAAAGUGCUUGACCAAAGGAACAUUAAGGUAGUUCCAACACAAUACAUGUUAAAUAGGUGGACAAAAGAUGCAAGGGUUGGAAGUGUAAGAGAUGGUCAUGGGUCUAUCAUAGAAGAAGACCCUAUGUUGGCUGCAGCAGACAAUUUUAAAAUCUUGUGCCAUAAGGCAGUUAAAAUGGCAGCUGUGGCUGCUGAAUCUGGAGAAGCAUAUCAACAUGUUAACAUAAGAUUCGAUGAGAUAAUGCAAGGCUUGGAGAAGAUUUCAAAGAUAAAGGCCCUUAUGGAUAUUCAGGUAGCAGAGAACUCUGGUCGAUUUGAUGGAGAUGGAGAUGUGUAUUUUAGAGAUGAACCUGCUUUCCCUGGAGGUUCUUCGAUGAGUACAAGUGAUUUUAUAUCCACUGGCUUCACAACUUCCCCAGAUUACUUGAUGCUUCAACAUGGCGCUAUGGCCCCAAGGGCCCAAGGACCCUCUGCAAUGCUUGUGGGCUUCGGUAUAAGAAGGAACACAUAAAGCUAUGGGAAACUCCUAUCCAUUGUUCAAACCCCAAGGGUUCAACAAAGAGAAGAAAAUCCUCCACAACAAAUGAGUUCUAAGUUGUGUCUGGAUAUCGGUUGCUUCAUCUUUUUGUGUCUCUGCUUAUCCCUUCUAUUACUAUUUACAUCAUACAUGAUGACUUCGAUAAAAAGUCUGAUAUUUAUUGUUAGUCCAUGAGAUCACACAUAGGAAACUCUCUCUUUCAGCGACCCUUGUCAAAUCACUUCAAAGUUGUUUUUAUGAAAAAUCUUUUGGCUGCUCUUUUCAUUGUUUGGAUGCUAUUUUCCUUUUAAUUUAUUCCCUCUUCCUUGGAGGCUUAUGUUACAAGUUUGAUGCCAGCGGUUUUUGAUGGCAUUUCUUUUCCUCUAGUUAGUUUUGCGUGUUAGGGGACCCAAUGCUCAGCAGAUCACCAAAAUAAAAUUUUCUUUUCCCCAGGGAACCAGUGUGGGUAGCAAGACCCAAACAUUUUAUCACAGGGAAGGGGGAAGGGUUGUGACUGAUGAUUCUGUGAUACGUGCAACCGGGGAAUGUGUGAAAUGCAGGAAGCUAGGGUCCUAGAAAGUGUUAUGAGAUAAGAGCAAGCAUCCAUAAUCGUGAGUAACAUGCAGAGAACUCCAAGUUUGUUUUCUCUUUCAUGUCUUGAGCUUUGUCUGCACAGCUUUGAAACUUCUUGUCGGCAUUUCAUCUGUCCCUUUCUGCUGCCUUCCCACGAGUCUAUUCAUUUACGAGGAAAAAGAAAAGGGAAAAAAAAAAACAAAAAGAAAAAAGUAUGGGACUAGGAAGUAGGAAGCAGCUUAGGAAUUAGAAGUGUAAAUUAUCAAAUAGUAGUAAUAUUAUAAUAGUAAAUUGCACAUACCGACCACCAUCGGUUAAACUACUUACUGGCACAUUUGCAGAAAUUCCUUGGCCCCCUACGUAAUAUUCUGAGAUGUUGAGGACUUGAAGUACGCUCCAACCAAAAGCUGGUUACCAAGCUAGAAAUCACAAUGUUUCUUGCUGUAGUUAUAAUUAUUGAUGUUGAUUCCUCUUGUUGCCUUUCUAUACCCUUUUUUUUUUAUCGGUUUUUACCGUAUCUGACAAGCUGGAUUUACCACAGUUUCCCAUAUUUGGAUACUACCAUGUUUUCUGGGCCAGUUGCUCAUUUCAUCUCUAAACGAGUUACGGGCCCCAAAGUGACAUUAGUGCUGGAUCAUAGUAACCCACAGCUGGCUUGCAAAAAGCAUCUUAAAAGAGCUAACCCAGAGCAAGAACAUCUUGGUUGGUUGCUUAAUAGUUAAUACUAAAUGCAUAUAAGCCUCAAAAAUAAAUGCUCAAAUUCCUAUCUAGUCUUUUAGGGCAAAUAGUUUCUCAACAUCACCAUACAUUGAAAGCAAAUACACACACACACAACAGGAGGAAUAAUUAAUAGCAUCUACCGCCACUCUUAAGACAAAGCCCAAGGCUACUAAAGCUAAUGUAGUUGUUCGUAAAGCAAAAUUAGAAGCCCAGAGCUCUAUGAUAUGAUAAUUGCUACUUCAACAAAGUUAAAUUCCAGCUGCCAUAAUGAUAAAAAAAGAAAAAAGGCGAACUGAUUUCCCACUCAUGUCCCCUCCCCACCCCACUACUACUAUGGUACAGCAGUGCGCCAUUUAUAUUGCAGAUUUGCGCAACUCACCAGCCCCAUGAGCAAAGUGACACCUUUCUCCAAAGGUGCAUGACCCUUUUGUAAAAUUGUCGCACAACUUAGUCUUGUAGUUGCUGGCCGGAGGGGCUUGGCCACCACCUGGCAUUGCAGUUGUUCUUGCAUGCCCUGGCAUUGCACUGAUGUUCACAAUUAGUUCUCUUACCAUUGCACUCGCUUCUUUUAUCUGUUCAAAAGUCCCCUCCAGUUCAAUAUUCCUCAGAUUUGGAUCUGAAUCAUGCUCCCGUAUGGAAAGUUUGGCCCCUGUUUGGCGACAUAUCUGCUUCGAGUUCACACCGCCCUUCCCAAUGAUGGCUCCAGCCAACGAUGCAUCUACGCUAAUUUUGGCAGUGGCUGAGGCACCAAAGCUAGCAGCAGGGCCUGUUGGUGACGGUUCAAUUCGACCAGCUAAGCGGCCUGGGAUGGAUCCCAUGGCUCGAGGAUCAUCAUGAUAUGGAGCAAGUGGCUUGCCAAGCUCCCAUUCACCAUGGGCAAAAUGACAUUUGUCACCAAAUUUGCAGCCUUCUGCAGUGUUGAAUUUGUUGCACAUUUUACUCUUAACAGCAGGCAUGGAGGAGCCGUUUGGAACAGGAGGUGGUGGCCCUGCCAUGUUUCUCGAGGCUGGAGGAAGAAUCGGUGCCUGAUUGGUCAUCUGAGCCACGGCAUUGUAGCCACCAGGGACAUAGUGGAGGAAGUGGCAGCUCUCCCCAAAAGGACAGCCAGAGGUGCUG